rnacentral:misc_RNA from 1 species
GAUGAAGAACGUAGCGAAAUGUGAUAAGUAGUGUGAAUUGCAGAAUUCAGUGAAUCAUCGAAUCUUUGAACGCACAUUGCGCCCUUUGGUAUUCCUUAGGGCAUGCCUGUUCGAGCGUCAUUUAAACCUUCAAGCUCAGCUUGGUGUUGGGUGACUGUCCGCUUCACCGCGGACUCGCCUCAAAAUUAUUGGCGGCCGGUACAUUGGCUCUCGAGCGCAGCAGAAACGCGUAACUCGAGGUCCUCGUGCUGGCUCCCAGAAGCUAUCUUCACAAUUUUGACCUCGGAUCAGGUAGGGAUACCCGCUGAACUUAAGCAUAUCAAUAAGCGAGGA